CUUUUUUAUUAUUUGCAUAACGAACCGAGGCAUCCUAGAUCUCCUUUCUCCAGAAAGCUGAUCUCCUGCAGCAGCUCAUCUGUCCGACGGGGGGCGGCAGUAUCCCAGUAACUCACUUCUUGAAGAUGUGUAGGUGGGAGGAGAGAUUCGCGUUCAAAAUCUUUUUGACUCUACGGACUUUCCGUAGCGCCUUAGCCCGCUCGAGUUUCAAUGCGCGUUGUUGCUGGAUGAAGCUGAGUCCUAUACAGCGCUCGCAGCUCUCCCGAUCAUGGCUUCUUCGAGUUCCUUCACCUAUUAUUGUCCUCCAUCUUCCUCCCCUGUUUGGUCAGAACCGCUGUAUAGUCUGAGACCUGAGCACGUGCGGGAGCGGUUGCAAGACGACUCAGUGGAAACAGUCACAUCCAUAGAACAGGCCAAAGUAGAAGAGAAGAUCCAGGAGGUCUUCAGUUCUUACAAGUUUAACCACCUUGUACCAAGGCUCAUUUUGCAGAGGGAGAAGCACUUCCAUUAUCUGAAAAGAGGCCUUCGACAACUGACAGAUGCCUAUGAGUGUCUGGAUGCCAGCCGCCCCUGGCUCUGCUACUGGAUCCUGCACAGCCUGGAGCUCCUUGACGAACCCAUCCCCCAGAUAGUGGCCACAGACGUGUGUCAGUUCCUGGAGCUGUGUCAGAGUCCAGACGGUGGCUUUGGAGGGGGCCCCGGUCAGUACCCACACCUCGCACCCACUUAUGCAGCCGUCAAUGCGCUGUGCAUCAUCGGCACAGAGGAAGCCUACAACGUCAUUAACAGGGAGAAACUCCUUCAGUAUUUGUACUCCCUAAAGCAACCCGACGGCUCUUUUCUCAUGCACGUCGGAGGUGAGGUGGACGUAAGGAGUGCAUACUGUGCUGCCUCGGUAGCCUCUCUCACCAACAUCAUCACUCCAGACCUCUUUGAAGGCACGGCCGAAUGGAUAGCCAGCAAUGGGUGACAAGCCGGCAGAUGCGGUUUGAAGGAGGCUUUCAGGGCCGCUGCAACAAGCUGGUGGACGGCUGCUACUCCUUCUGGCAGGCAGGGCUCCUGCCCCUGCUGCACCGAGCCCUCCACGCUCAAGGUGACCCUGCCCUCAGCAUGAGCCAUUGGAUGUUCCAUCAGCAGGCGCUGCAGGAGUACAUCCUGAUGUGCUGCCAGUGUCCAGCCGGGGGGCUUCUGGACAAGCCUGGCAAGUCACGUGACUUCUAUCAUACUUGCUACUGCCUGAGCGGCCUCUCCAUUGCCCAGCAUUUCGGAAGCGGAGCCAUGUUGCACGAUAUGGUCAUGGGUGUGCCCGAAAACGUUCUGCAGCCCACACACCCUGUGUACAACAUUGGACCUGAGAAGGUGAUCCAGGCCACCACACACUUUCUGCAGAAGCCAGUCCCAGGCUUUGAGGAAUGUGAAGAUGAGGUGACCUCAGAUCCUGCCACCGACUAGAGGACCCCGUGGCUCUCCCAGCUCCCCCGUCAGACAAGGUUUCUCCAUUUGGGUGUGUAGCACGCUCUGUGCUACUUGAGCCUCGACCACUGUGGAGUUGUGGUUUCUUUGUCCUUUCCUGUCAAACAAAACAAAGCCAUCAGCUCUGGGUUGGAAUACACGGUGGUGUGAUUUUUAAAAUUAUUUUCAUACCUGUCAAGCCAAAACUCUGGGAGCCGAUGUAGCAAGCCAGGUUGGGAGCAGUGUAUGCUGGGAAGCAGCAGCGCACCCCCUUCUCCCCCCCCCCCCCCCAAUGCUGAAAUGGAAGAUAUCUGUGAGUAUCUGCAUCCCAGCCACUGCUGUGACUCCACCCACACACACCAUUCAGUCACCAGACCGGCAUCCUCUCUGGUAUAAAUCUUAGCUCUGUGCAAGGGUGGGGCUGUGGGUCCAGCCAAUACGAGCUCUGGAAGAGAGCACUGGGCUCCAGUAGGCCAUAUUUAUGCUUGUCUCUUUCACCCCAGUCAUCUGCAAAGGACAGGGGUCGGGAAUGAAGAAGGCUCUUAGAUUGAGCCCUCCCCAUAACCUGGGGAAAACCGAGUCACAUCCUCUCCGAGGCCACGUUUGGUAUGAGUGAGACUUAUUUUGUCCUUGGUAUGAUGACUACACCCAGGUAAUCAAUUAUGAGUGGAAAACCAACCUCUAGGUCAACUCUGUGCCAGAGGAAGCAGCUUCCCCAUGCCCAGCCCCUGCCUCUCCCCAUCAUGUACCAGGAGAGGCCCUCCUCCAGCUAUGCUGCGGCCCAGGUUCCUUCUCCCCACCCACCCCUCCAAGACAGUGCUGUCUUUUCUCAUCCAGAGUGUUAACACUACUAAGGCUUUCACCUUAAUUGAUCACUCAGGAUUUGUUCCCGCCCUGUCCACUCCAGGCAGGCUGGCUGCUGCCGGGACAGCAGCCUCAGGUAGUAGGGCUGGCAGUAAUCCUGGAACUGCCCUGCACCGGCCUGGCACGGUCUGUAGGGUGCUGAGUUUGCUCGUCCAUCCACUGCUACAGUCACAGCGAGCUCGCCUCACUGUCCCAGCCUGUGAGCAGGCAGACGGGAGCUUGGAGAUGCAGCAUGAGGCUCUUCCCCUAACCACUGGCCAUUUGCUGCCUCUGAUUCCCUGUUGCUUUGGUGUACUGGGCUAUGUAUUACCUCCUUGAAAUAAUAAAAGAGUAACAUUUUC